UACGUAGGGUGCAAGCGUUAAUCGGAAUUACUGGGCGUAAAGCGUGCGCAGGCGGUGAUGUAAGACAGAUGUGAAAUCCCCGGGCUUAACCUGGGAAUGGCAUUGGUGACUGCACAGCUAGAGUGUGUCAGAGGGGGGUAGAAUUCCACGUGUAGCAGUGAAAUGCGUAGAGAUGUGGCGGAACACCGAUGGCGAAGGCAGCCCCCUGGGCUGAGAUUGACGCUCAGGCACGAAAGCGUGGGGAGCAAACAGG
rnacentral:rRNA from 1 species